rnacentral:rRNA from 1 species
AUACGGAGGGUGCAAGCGUUAAUCGGAAUUACUGGGCGUAAAGAGUACGUAGGUGGUUUAUUAAGUCAGAUGUGAAAGCCCCGGGCUUAACCUGGGAACUGCAUUUGAUACUGGCAAACUAGAGUAUGCUAGAGGCGGGUAGAAUUCCUAGUGUAGCGGUGAAAUGCGUAGAUAUUAGGAGGAAUACCAGUGGCGAAGGCGGCCCGCUGGACCAAUACUGACACUGAGGUACGAAAGCGUGGGUAGCGAACAGAAUUAGAAACCCUAGUAGUCC